rnacentral:tRNA from 1 species
GGUCUGGUGGCUUAGCUGGAUAACGCACCUGGUAGUGUUCAGGAGACCGCAGGUUCGAAUCCUGUCCAGGCUA